GAUGAACGCUAGCGGCAGGCCUAAUACAUGCAAGUCGGACGGGAUUCAGGAGCUUGCUUCUGAUGAGAGUGGCGCACGGGUGCGUAACACGUAUGUAACCUACCUUUAUCAGGGGGAUAGCCUCUCGAAAGAGAGAUUAAGCCCGCAUAAAAUCACAGCACAGCAUUGUGUAAUGAUCAAAUAUUUAUAGGAUAAAGAUGGGCAUGCGGAACAUUAGCUAGAUGGCGGGGUAACGGCCCACCAUGGCGACGAUGUUUAGGGGAUCUGAGAGGAUGGCCCCCCACACUGGUACUGAGACACGGACCAGACUCCUACGGGAGGCAGCAGUAAGGAAUAUUGGUCAAUGGGCGGAAGCCUGAACCAGCCAUGCCGCGUGCAGGAAGACGGCCCUACGGGUUGUAAACUGCUUUUAUAAGGGAAUAAACCCAGAUACGUGUAUCUGGCUGAAUGUACUGUAAGAAUAAGGAUCGGCUAACUCCGUG
rnacentral:rRNA from 1 species